rnacentral:rRNA from 1 species
UACGUAGGGUGCAAGCGUUAAUCGGAAUUACUGGGCGUAAAAGCGUGCGCAGGCGGCUAUGCAAGACAGAUGUGAAAAUCCCCCGGGCUCAACCUGGGGAACUGCAUUUUGUGACUGCAUGGCUAGAGUACGGGCAGAGGGGGAUGGAAUUCCGCGUGUAGCAGUGGAAAUGCGUAGAUAUGCGGAGGACACCGAUGGCGAAGGCAAUCCCCUGGGCCUGUACUGACGCUCGAUGCACGAAAG